GACGAACGCUGGCGGCGUGCUUAACACAUGCAAGUCGAACGGAAAGGCCCUGCUUUUGUGGGGUGCUCGAGUGGCGAACGGGUGAGUAACACGUGAGUAACCUGCCCUUGACUUUGGGAUAACUUCAGGAAACUGGGGCUAAUACCGGAUAGGAGCUCCUGCUGCAUGGUGGGGGUUGGAAAGUUUCGGCGGUUGGGGAUGGACUCGCGGCUUAUCAGCUUGUUGGUGGGGUAGUGGCUUACCAAGGCUUUGACGGGUAGCCGGCCUGGGAGGGUGACCGGACACAUUGGGACUGAGAUAAGGCACAGACUCCUACGGGAGGCAGCAGUGGGGAAGAUUGCACAAUGGGCGGAAGCCUGAUGCAGCAAAGCCGCGUGCGGGAUGACGGCCUUCGGGUUGUAAACCGCUUUCGCCUGUGACGAAGAGUGAGUGACGGUAAUGGGUAAAGAAGCACCGGCUAACUACGUG
rnacentral:rRNA from 1 species